AGCAGCCGCGGUAAUUCCAGCUCCAAUAGCGUAUAUUAAAGUUGUUGCAGUUAAAAAGCUCGUAGUUGAAUUUCAGGCCUGGCUGGACGGUCCGCCCUUCGGGUGAGUACUGUCUGUGGUCGGGUCCUACCUUCUGGCGAAGCGUCAUGGCCUUAACCGGCCGUGGCGGGGAACCAGGACUUUUACUGUGAAAAAAUUAGAGUGUUCAAAGCAGGCAAUCGCUUGGAUACAUUAGCAUGGAAUAAUGGAAUAGGACAAUGGUUCUAUUUGUUGGUUUCUAGGACCGUUGUAAUGAUUAAUAGGGAUAGUUGGGGGCAUUAGUAUUCAAUUGUCAGAGGUGAAAUUCUUGGAUUUAUUGAAGACUAACUACUGCGAAAGCAUUUGCCAAGGAUGUUUUCAUUAAUCAAGAACGAAAGUUAGGGGAUCGAAGACGAUCAGAUACCGUCGUAGUCUUAACCAUAAACUAUGCCGACUAGGAAUCGGGCGAUGUUGACAAAAUGACGCGCUCGGCACCUCAUAC
rnacentral:rRNA from 1 species